GUACCGUUCGUCACAAAAGUGCCUGACUGGCAUUACCAACUGAUCGCCAUUAACCCUUCCGCCCCAAUAUAUUAAACUCUGCGGCACGAAAGUGGCUUCCUCCUCCACGAAGUUAGAUGGCACAAUUCAUAUAGUGACAUAAUUCAUUUCAUCAUCAUUAAAAAUGAGAAAUUAGUUGAGACUCAUUUUCUCCCAACUGCACUACCACCACAACACAAAACGAAUCACCACCAUUGCUUGUUGCAUUUCAGGUUGAGGUAAAUUCUUCUGGGGCAGAGGAGUGAGGUAAAAAGAGUCUUUUUUUUAUGUGCUGGCUUCAAGUUCUUUAUACACAGGUUCAGUCCCAUAGUAAUAUGUGCAGAAUGGGCAGCAAGUUAAUUUCCAACCAUCUGUUCCUCCCUACCUACCUCUGUAAGAUCACCUUUAUUAUCCUCCCCUUGUAUAUGCCAGGUCUCUAAACGGGUAUAUUCCUCACAAAAUGUAUGUUCUUUUACCUACCUGUGCAGUCAGUUACACAAUUCUCUGGAGGACAAGCAGGAGAGGGAUUACAGAGAUAUCCUGGUUGACAACAAAGUCACCUUCAGCAGCUAUAAUCCAAGUCACAGAGUCAUAUCACCAGGUAUACCAUAACAAGUACAGAAGGAGACUGCAACAGAUAUGGAUGAAACUAGAGUUAUACGCUCAAGUUCUGAAGGAAUGAACGGGCAAUGGAAUGAUCUGUUUAAGAUAAAAAACAUUUUUAGCAAACACAUAUCCCGUAGCAGAAAUGAUUGCUACUAAAUCACAAGUGUUCAAGAAGGGCUGACACAGAUACUUGCAACACCAUGAUGGAAUCUCUUUAAUUUAUCUAGGGCUAGAAUGUUGUGCUGUCUGGUAGAAUAAUACUGACAUCGCAAAGGUGCUUACUGAUUCCAACACCAGGGUGGUGAGUAAGCUGUACAAGAAAAACUGGGUUGUCCUCAGUACCAGCAGGGAGAGAUCUGAGAUCUGAUGGUAUGGAUGAACUCCACUGAUUUCUUCCAUGCUGUGGAGAAUUCUCCAGCUGUCAUGUGAGUGGACUGGCCAGAUAUUGGGCCAAGCAAUAGGUUGGGGUCCUGGUGAUGCUCAUCAUAAGCCUAAGAGCCACUUGUCAGGAGAUUGGGCUGUGAGAUUGGUGUUGCAAAACCUAGACAGCUCUUUUAUCAGCUUUGGACAGGUUAUUCUUGGACUUACUGGAGUCCUUCAUGAUCCUGUCUCCUGUUUGAUCUCUUAAGCUGCUGUGUCCAUCAGAGAAUUGACAGCCUUCUAUACAUAGCCAAGCAGAAGGCUGUCAGUUCUCUUUUGGAAGAAGUGUUUAGACAGGUCUCUCAGAGAACCGAUGGCCUUCUCCUCAUCUGUGUGAAGAAGGUUGUCACUUCCCUACUAGAGCUCCUCAGUCACUUCUGGCAGAUAACUGAUAACAUUAAGCUCAGCAAUGUGGAGAAGAAAGCUGUCACUUCUCUGCUAGACCUCCCUAGCCACAUUUUUUGGCAGUUAACUGAUGGCCUUCUUCUCAGUGGUGUAGACAAGGCUGCCAGGUCUCUGACAGAAGAAGCAGCUGAGGAGAUCCAACAGAAGACAAUUGGAAUUCUGAAGGCCUCCAGUAAGCACAAGCAUAACCUGUCCAAAGUCAAGGUUCUGCAUUAUCAGACAUGUUCCCAUAUCUCAAUCACUUAUCAUGAUGUUGGAGAUAAUAAGUAUAUAUGCAAUGCCGGUGAAAUUGUACAGAAAUGUAUUGUGCAAACCCAGUGGUUUCCAACCUUUUCUUAACUGUAGACAUGUAAAAGAGUAGGGGUUUGUGAUAAAUGCAAUCUUAUAUACCCCAUAUUGUAUUAUAUGAAUAAUUAUCAACAAAUUCAGUUACUGGUAGCAUGUCCAAAUAUGUUAUAUUCAACUAGCUGAAUAUGCAUGAGAGGGGAAUAAUGAAUAGUGUAUUAUAUAAUACUAUUAAAAAACUUGAAUGAACAA